CCCUACGGGGGGUGGACCGCCGUAGGCAGUCUAUUUAUUCAACUGAGUAAAUGAAGACCCUGAAGAUAAAGUGCACUUCUAGGUGAUAUUUUUCACAGAACCCCUCCUUGGUUCUAAUCAAGGAAGUUGGAUCCACUAAACUCUUAGAGAAAUUAUAUUAAUAAACGAAGUGAAUUGAAAUAUCUUAGUAACUUCAGGAAAAGAAAUCAAACGAGAUUCUAUGAUUAGUGUGAACGAAAGUAGAAAAGCCUAAUUAUUAAGCAAGUAAAAUGGAUUAAUCUGUUUGAAUAUAGGGGAACCUUCCUCUAAGGCUAAAUAUGAUAUAUAAGCGAUAGUGAAUGAGUACCGUGAGGGAAAUAUCUUGAAAUAGUGGUUUUAUAAGCAGCUCAAGUUAAGUUUAAAUAAAAAACGAGAGUGUACCUUUUGUAUAAUGGGUCAGCAAGUUAAUAUUAGAUGCGAGCAUAGCACUAUGCCUAGAUAAACCGAUUAUGAAAUAAUGAAUAAGUAUCUAGUAUUAGACCCGAAGCCUAGUGAUCUUACCAUAAUCAGGAUUAUAAAAGUCCGAACGGGUUAUCGUUGUAAAGAUAUCCGAAGAAUUGUGGUAAGUUAGUGAAAGACAAAACUGACUAGGAUAGCUGGUUUUCCGCGAAACCUAUAUAAGUAGGUAAUUCAAGUAACAUCUUAGCAGGUACAGAACUGUGAUCUCAGGCAAAAUUGUAUUAUCUUAGGUUUCUAAGGUAAUAGUUUUGCAUACAUCGGGGGAUCGUGAAGAUUUUAUCGGUGAGUAUUUGCUCUCGGAAGGGCAAAGAUGAAUAUUGAAUAAUCAGACAUAGUACGAUAAGGUUGUAUGUCUAAAGGGAAACAGCCCAGAACAAGUGUUUAAGGUUCCAAAAUUAUUGUUAAGUGAAAUUAAGGAAGUAUUUUUCAAAUACAACCAGGAAAUAGGCUUAGAAGCGGCCAUUUUUUGAAGACCUACCGGAUGAUGUGGGAUAUCAUCUAUGUGGGAGAAACUAUCAAACUCCGGGGAAUUCCUAAAGCUUCUGAUACCAAGCUAUAUUCGAAAGAAUAUAAGUGGCUGAACUAAUUACUCAGGUAUGGUAACAAGUCAGAAGAUAUCUGAAAAGAUUAUGGAAAAUCGCGGAUCUAAGUCAGAUUUUAAAUCCAAACCUUUGAUUAGUCGGAGUUUAAGAUCUGUAAAAGAGCAACGAGUAGACGGUAGUUGAUACAAGAGAAUGUUAAAUUAUCUUGUAUUUAAGGUGUACUCUAAUGAGUUUAGAAAUAAACUGUCGAGUCAGAAUCCCUUCUUAGCAAAUAAUAAACAUGUAGGAAACACCGGAUACAAAGGAGGUGCUCCUUUUUAUUUAACAAGAAAACUAAAAUUAGUUAAUAAAUUAUCUAAUAAAAGUUUAAACUUUACUAACGUUUUAAAUUUUAGUACUGCAUCACAGAUAGCAAAAUUAUCUGGUUGAUGAGUAACUGGGUUUGUGGAUGCUGAAGGUUGUUUCCGUAUUUCUAUUAUUAAAAAUAAGAAUUACAAGGGCAAUCCUUGAUCUCCAUCUCUUUAUAGUGGAAAUGGGUUAGGUAAUUCUAUGCCUUUAUCUGUUAGACUUUAUUUCCAAAUAGGGUUGCACUUAAAAGAUGAAAAGAUUCUAAAAUUAAUUCAAUCCACAUUAGGGGUUGGAAAAAUUUAUAGAUCUAAGACUCGGUUAGAUUCUGUUGAAUUACAGGUAUCCUCUUUUAAGGAUAUGUCUGCUAUUAUAAAAUUUUUUGAUAAAUAUCCUCUAAUUACUCAAAAAUGGGCUGAUUAUUUACUUUUCAAAAAAGCCUGCCCCCGGCGGCGCCGGGAGGCGGGCCACCUCCCCCCCUCUCCCCCAGGAGAGGGGAGAGGGGAGAGGGGAGAGGGGAGAGGGGAGAGGGGAGAGGGGAGAGGGGAGAGGGGGGUAGCCUAUGAAUUAAUUCUGAAUAAACAGCAUCUUACUAUUGAAGGUUUAAAGAAAUUAGUGGAAAUUAAAGCUUUAAUUAAUAAAGGUCUUCCUGAUCAAUUAAAAGAAGCAUUCCCUAAAUUUGAACUUGUUAAUAUACAGAGAUGUAAAGUUAAUAAAGAAAUACCUGAUCCUAACUGAAUUGCAGGAUUUGUAAGUGGUGAGGGUAGUUUCAUGGUUAGAAUGUUUAAAUCAGCUAGCCAUACAAUAGGUUAUCAGGUACAAUUAAGAUUUCAAAUAACUCAACAAUCUCGAGAUAAAUUUUUAAUGGAGAGAUUUGUUAGUUAUCUAGGUUGCGGAUAUAUCUCUGAACGUGGAGAUAUUGUAGAUUUUCAAGUAACAAAUCUUAUGGAUAUAGUUGAUAAAAUAAUACCGUUUUUUGAAAAGUACCCUAUAAUUGGAGUUAAAUUGGAUAAUUACAAUGAUUUUUGUAAAGCAGCUCAACUUAUUAAGGAUAAAGAGCACUUAACUGUCGAAGGCUUAGAAAAAAUUAGACUGCCUACGGCGGUCCACCCCCCUACGGGGGGUAGACUAUUAAAAUCUAAUAUGAACACACUUUCCCUGCGGGAAGGUCCCUUCAGGGGACUUCUUAAGGGGAAGUCCCCUUCGGGACUUAGAGAUAUUAACUAAUAUUAAUAUUCUUUUGCAUAGCCUUGUAGACAUUUAAAGGUCAUACCUCUCCUCGAAAUAAAGUGUGCAAAUUAUUAGAUAUUAGUAGAUCAUUAUCUAAUUAUUUGUAAGAACUAUUUGUUUAUUGUUUGUAUGAUGAAUCUGAUGGUUAUGCGUAACAGAGCACUGGUUCAAUUAUAAGUUAAUGUAUAUUAAUUUAUAUAAGUUAAAAGCACCGAAAAUAUAACGGAUCUAAAACAAUAUACCGACACCUUGUCCAUAUUUAUUAAUAUUUGAUAAUAAAACACCGGGUAAUAUUGUAAAUUUUUAAUUAUACGGUGUUUAUAUAAUAUUAUAUUUAUGGGGUAGCGGAACGUUGGGGAAAUCUUGGAUUUUUACUUUUUAAGUAAAAAAAUUAGAUAACCCAAGUGAGAAUGCUGACAUGAGUAACGAAAAAGGGGAAUACCCUCGCCUUAAGCUUAUGGAAUUUCUUUAAAGUAACGGCCUCUAAGUUUACAGACCUGCCCUAAAGGAUUAAACGAUGAGAAAAUCUUCCUUAUGUAUGACAACCUUAAGAUUAAAGAAUUUUACAACUGAGUCUAAAUAUCUUUAAUAAUAGAGUAUUAAGUGUUCUGGAAAAAAACAUAAGGGUGUCUAGUAUAAUAUUUACAUUAUAUUAUGGCAAAACCGUACCUAGAAACUAUCACCAGUAAGCAAGUAGAGAAUACGAAGGCGCUUGAGCUAACAAUCAUUAAGGAACUCGGCAAAUUGACUCCGUAACUGCGGGAUAAGGAGUGCCAUUCUAACUGAUUAAUAUCAGGUUUAGAAGAGGAGGCACAGAAUGGUGUUGUACGACUGUUUAAUUAAAACACAGCACUUUGCGCAAGAUGACAAAUCGAAGUAUAAAGUGUGCCGUCUGCCCGAUGAUGGAUGGUUAACGAAUUUAUUUAGCUGACUAAAAUAGGCUAGGUUUUGAAGGAACCCCCAUUCAAUGGCGGCCUUAUCUAUAAGGGUCCUAAGGUAGCGGAAUACCUUGGCCGUUAAAUGCGGUCUUUGCAUGAAUGAUAAAACGAUACAACAGCUGUCUCAAUGAUUGGCUCAGUGAAAUUGAAAUAGCAGUGAAGAUGCUGCUUACCUCUAGUUAGACGAGAAGACCCUAUGCAGCUUUACUGUUGCUAGUUACUGGAUAUGAUUUAACAAGUUGUAGUGUAUAAGGUAAUUGUUGAAAUAGAAUUGAAACACCUUUACUUUGUUUGUCAUAUCAGUAGAAUACGUCUAUCAAAUAGUGACUCAUUGAUAGGCCAAGUCUACAAAGCUUAUCCAUAAAGGAAAAGGGGAUAUUUAAUAAAUAGCCCGGGAAACAGUUACUAGUGGACGGUUUAUGCGGGGCACAGAUCCCAUAAAAAGUACCUGGGUAUAUCCAAAGUUAAUUUUGUAAAAUUGCAUAUUGCAAUUGAGUGUAUUUGUCAUGUUUUCAUUGAAAACAUGACAAAUAUAUUCUAUAUUUAUUUUGUUAUUAGUUGUAUAUAUAACUAAUUCAGUUAUUUUUCUAUUGAGUUAGAACUAUAUUUUUUAAUCUAAGUAAGAUUUUAACUAUAUGGGAAAUAGAUGUAAAAAAAAAUAUUAAUUAAAUUUAUUAGUAAUGUUUUUAGUUGUUAUAUUUGUAUGCUUUGGUUUAUUGCCGAAGAUAUUUUUAUAAUGAUUUUGAUAUUUACUUCAAAAGUUUAAUGGCUUAAUCUUGCUUUACUGUUUGACCUACACGUCUUUCAGUCGCAUAAGCGGGGCAUAAGAUCGCAAGACGCAGAAAGGAAAGGUCUUGUAUUAUUGAAAAAGCUACGCUAGGGAUUACAAAAAAACUGUUAGUCCUCCUGCAAUAAAUAAUUGUAAGGUA
rnacentral:rRNA from 1 species